AUUGAACGCUGGCGGCAUGCUUUACACAUGCAAGUCGAACGGUAACAGGCCUUCGGGCGCUGACGAGUGGCGAACGGGUGAGUAAUGCAUCGGAACGUGCCCAGUCGUGGGGGAUAACUAUCCGAAAGGAUAGCUAAUACCGCAUACGAUCUGCGGAAUAAAGCGGGGGACCUUCGGGCCUCGCGCGAUUGGAGUGGCCGAUGUCAGAUUAGGUAGUUGGUGGGGUAAAGGCUCACCAAGCCAACGAUCUGUAGCUGGUCUGAGAGGACGACCAGCCACACUGGGACUGAGACACGGCCCAGACUCCUACGGGAGGCAGCAGUGGGGAAUUUUGGACAAUGGGCGCAAGCCUGAUCCAGCAAUGCCGCGUGCAGGAAGAAGGCCUUCGGGUUGUAAACUGCUUUUGUACGGAACGAAACGGCUCUGGUUAAUACCCGGGGCUAAUGACUGUACCGGUGGAGGAAGCCACGGCUAACUCUGUGCCAGCCGCCGCAGUAA
rnacentral:rRNA from 1 species